rnacentral:rRNA from 1 species
UAGUCGGGUCCUAAGCUGAGGCCGACAGGCGUAGGCGAUGGAUAACAGGUUGAUAUUCCUGUACCACCUAUAAUCGUUUUAAUCGAUGGGGGGACGCAGUAGGAUAGGCGAAGCGUGCGAUUGGAUUGCACGUCUAAGCAGUAAGGCUGAGUAUUAGGCAAAUCCGGUACUCGUUAAGGCUGAGCUGUGAUGGGGAGAAGACAUUGAGUCUUCGAGUCGUUGAUUUCACACUGCCGAGAAAAGCCUCUAGAUAGAAAAUAGGUGCCCGUACCGCAAACCGACACAGGUAGUCAAGAUGAGAAUUCUAAGGUGAGCGAGCGAACUCUCGUUAAGGAACUCGGCAAAAUGACCCCGUAACUUCGGGAGAAGGGGUGCUCUUUAGGGUUAACGCCCAGAAGAGCCGCAGUGAAUAGGCCCAAGCGACUGUUUAUCAAAAACACAGGUCUCUGCUAAACCGUAAGGUGAUGUAUAGGGGCUGACGCCUGCCCGGUGCUGGAAGGUUAAGAGGAGUGGUUAGCUUCUGCGAAGCUACGAAUCGAAGCCCCAGUAAACGGCGGCCGUAACUAUAACGGUCCUAAGGUAGCGAAAUUCCUUGUCGGGUAAGUUCCGACCCGCACGAAAGGCGUAACGAUUUGGGCACUGUCUCAACGAGAGACUCGGUGAAAUCAUAGUACCUGUGAAGAUGCAGGUUACCCGCGACAGGACGGAAAGACCCCGUGGAGCUUUACUGUAGCCUGAUAUUGAAAUUCGGCACAGCUUGUACAGGAUAGGUAGGAGCCUUUGAAACGUGAGCGCUAGCUUACGUGGAGGCGCUGGUGGGAUACUACCCUAGCUGUGUUGGCUUUCUAACCCGCACCACUUAUCGUGGUGGGAGACAGUGUCAGGCGGGCAGUUUGACUGGGGCGGUCGCCUCCUAAAAGGUAACGGAGGCGCUCAAAGGUUCCCUCAGAAUGGUUGGAAAUCAUUCAUAGAGUGUAAAGGCAUAAGGGAGCUUGACUGCGAGACCUACAAGUCGAGCAGGGUCGAAAGACGGACUUAGUGAUCCGGUGGUUCCGCAUGGAAGGGCCAUCGCUCAACGGAUAAAAGCUACCCCGGGGAUAACAGGCUUAUCUCCCCCAAGAGUUCACAUCGACGGGGAGGUUUGGCACCUCGAUGUCGGCUCAUCGCAUCCUGGGGCUGUAGUCGGUCCCAAGGGUUGGGCUGUUCGCCCAUUAAAGCGGUACGCGAGCUGGGUUCAGAACGUCGUGAGACAGUUCGGUCCCUAUCCGUCGUGGGCGUAGGAAAUUUGAGAGGAGCUGUCCUUAGUACGAGAGGACCGGGAUGGACAUACCUCUGGUGUACCAGUUGUCGUGCCAACGGCAUAGCUGGGUAGCUAUGUGUGGACGGGAUAAGUGCUGAAAGCAUCUAAGCAUGAAGCCCCCCUCAAGAUGAGAUUUCCCAACUUCGGUUAUAAGACCCCUCAAAGAUGAUGAGGUUAAUAGGUUCGAGGUGGAAGCAUGGUGACAUGUGGAGCUGACGAAUACUAAUCGAUCGAAGACUUAAUCAA